rnacentral:rRNA from 1 species
AUUGAACGCUGGCGGCAUGCCUAACACAUGCAAGUCGAGCGAGCGGCGGACGGGUGAGUACUGUAUGGGGACUGCCCGAUAGCGGGGGAUCACUACUGGAAACGGUAGCUAAUACCGCAUACUAUCGGAUAACCCAUAUGGGAUGAGCUAGUCGGUGAGGUAAUGGCUCACCUAGGCGACGAUCCCUAGCUGGGCUGAGAGGAGGAUCAGCAAAACUGGGACGGAGACACGGCCCAGACUCCUACGGAGGCAGCAGUGGGGAAUAUUGCACAAUGGGCGAAAGCCUGAUGCAGCCAUGCCGCGUGUAUGAAGAAGGCCCUAGGGUUGUAAAGUACUGUUAGUCGGGAGGCGUUACCGAAAGAAGAAGCACCGGCUAACUCCGUGCCAGCAGCCGCGGUAAUAC